GAUGAACGCUGGCGGCGUGCCUAAUACAUGCAAGUCGAGCGAACAGACGAGGAGCUUGCUCCUCUGACGUUAGCGGCGGACGGGUGAGUAACACGUGGAUAACCUACCUAUAAGACUGGGAUAACUUUGGGAAACCGGAGCUAAUACCGGAUAAUAUAUUGAACCGCAUGGUUCAAUAGUGAAAGACGGUUUUGCUGUCACUUAUAGAUGGAUCCGCGCCGCAUUAGCUAGUUGGUAAGGUAACGGCUUACCAAGGCAACGAUGCGUAGCCGACCUGAGAGGGUGAUCGGCCACACUGGAACUGAGACACGGUCCAGACUCCUACGGGAGGCAGCAGUAGGGAAUCUUCCGCAAUGGGCGAAAGCCUGACGGAGCAACGCCGCGUGAGUGAUGAAGGUCUUCGGAUCGUAAAACUCUGUUAUUAGGGAAGAACAAAUGUGUAAGUAACUAUGCACGUCUUGACGGUACCUAAUCAGAAAGCCACGGCUAACUACGU
rnacentral:rRNA from 1 species